rnacentral:rRNA from 1 species
GAUGAACGCUGGCGGCGUGCCUAAUACAUGCAAGUCGAGCGAACAGACGAGGAGCUUGCUCCUCUGACGUUAGCGGCGGACGGGUGAGUAACACGUGGAUAACCUACCUAUAAGACUGGGAUAACUUCGGGAAACCGGAGCUAAUACCGGAUAAUAUAUUGAACCGCAUGGUUCAAUAGUGAAAGACGGUUUUGCGGUCACUUAUAGAUGGAUCCGCGCCGCAUGAGCUAGUUGGUAAGGUAACGGCUUACCAAGGCAACGAUGCGUAGCCGACCUGAGAGGGUGAUCGGCCACACUGGAACUGAGACACGGCCCAGACUCCUACGGGAGGCAGCAGUAGGGAAUCUUGCGCAAUGGGCGAAAGCCUGACGGAGCAACGCCGCGUGAGUGAUGAAGGUCUUCGGAUCGUAAAACUCUGUUAUUAGGGAAGAACAAAUGUGUAAGUAACUAUGCACGUCUUGACGGUACCUAAGCAGAAAGCCACGGCUAACUACGU